UAAAUAGAUAUAUCCAAGCCAGAGCUACAGAUAACUUGUUGGGUCAUUGAGUUGUGUACUCACUUGUGUUUAUCUCAACUGGGUAUCCAAAUGUUUCUUUGAGUAACCAAAUAAAUUGUCUUCACCUCACUCAAACUCAAUUGGGUAUUUUGCCAUUUUCCAUAA